rnacentral:rRNA from 1 species
UACGUAGGGGGCGAGCGUUGUCCGGAUUUAUUGGGCGUAAAGAGCGUGUAGGCGGCCUGAAAGGUCAGCCGAUACUGCGGGGCUAGAGUGCAGAAGGGGCAACUGGAAUUCUCGGUGUAGCGGUGAAAUGCGUAGAUAUCGAGAGGAACACCUGCGGCGAAGGCGGGUUGCUGGGCUGACACUGACGCUGAGGCGCGAAAGCUAGGGGAGCGAACGGG